UACGGGGGGGGCAAGCGUUGUUCGGAAUUACUGGGCGUAAAGGGGUCGUAGGUGGCCUGCUAAGUCAAACGUGAAAUCCCUCAGCUUAACUGGGGAACUGCGUCUGAGACUGGUGGGCUUGAGUGCAGGAGAGGAACGCGGAAUUCCAGGUGUAGCGGUGAAAUGCGUAGAUAUCUGGAGGAACACCGGUGGCGAAGGCGGCGUUCUGGACUGCUACUGACACUGAGGAACGAAAGCCAGGGGAGCAAACGGG
rnacentral:rRNA from 1 species